AUGGUACAUCAUAUAACAUCCCUACACCCCCACAUAUACACAACAUGUUCAAUACCCCCACAUAUCCACAACAUGUUCAAUACCUCCACAUAUCCACAACAUGUUCAAUACCCCCACAUAUCCACAACAUGUUCAAUACCCCCACAUAUCCACAACAUAUUCAAUACCACCACAUAUCCACAUCGAAACAUGUUCAAUACCACCACAUAUCCACAACAUGUUCAAUACCACAACAUAUCCACAACAUGUUCAAUACCUCCACAUAUCCACAACACAACAUGUUCAAUACCUCCACAUGUUCAAUACCACCACAUAUCCACAACAUGUUCAAUACCACCACGUAUCCACAACAUGUCCAAUACCACCACAUAUCCACAACACAACAUGUUCAAUACCACCACAUAUCCACAACAUGUUCAAUACCACAACAUGUUCAAUACCUCCACAUAUCCACAACAUGUUCAAUACCUCCACAUAUCCACAACAUGUUCAAUACCACCACAUAUCCACAACAUGUUCAAUACUACCACAUAUCCACAACAUGUUCAAUACCCCCACAUAUCCACAACACAACAUGUUCAUUACCUCCACAUAUCCACAACACAACAUGUUCAAUACCUCCACAUAUCCACAACAUGUUCAAUACCCCCACAUCUCCACAUGUUCAAUACCACAACAUGUUCAAUACCACAACAUGUUCAAUACCACCACAUAUCCACAACACUAAAUAAUCGUGUUCCCCUAAGUUUGAUACUGUAUUGAAAACCUCUGUGACUGUCCCCUCUCCUUUGUAGUGCCUAUCACUGUGCUCUGUGACUGUCCCCUCUCCUUUGUAGUGCCUCUCUCACUGUGCUCUGUGACUGUCCCCUCUCCUUUGUAGUGCCUCUCUCACUGUGCUCUGUGACUGUCCCCUCUCCUUUGUCGUGCCUCUCUCAUUGUGCUCUGUGACUGUCCCCUCUCCUUUGUAGUGCCUCUCUCAUUGUGCUCUGUGACUGUCC
rnacentral:lncRNA from 13 species